UGUCAAGGCUAGGGGUGUCUGUUUUAACCAGACUGAGAGGGACCCUUAGAACCUAAUACCGGGUAAUGCCGACGUAGGGAAGCUGUUUCUUAAGGUA
rnacentral:ncRNA from 2 species